GAUAUGCUUAUUCAAAAGAAACAGUAGCAAAUCACUGAACUUGAUAGCGGACUAUAAGGAUAUAUUGAGAUUAAUUACCAGGAGGCAAGUGAGCUCAUUAUCUAGUAGUGGUGAGGAGGAGGAGGUGAGGAGUAGAUGUAAGCCGGUGGAGUGUGAACGGGAGGAGUAGGAGGCUUGUAAGGCUUCGUUGGUGGUGGUGGUGGUGGUGGUGGUGACUUGUAGUGGUAUGGAAUGUGGGGUGGAGAGUAGACUGGAGGAGGAGGAGAAGGCGGUGGUGGAGACUUGUAGUGGUAAGGCGGUGACUUGGGAGGGUAGUGGGGGUGCUUAGGUGGUGAGUACACUGGUGGUGUUGGGGAUGGUGGUGGCUUAGGAGGGUAAUGGGGGUGCUUGGGUGGUGAGUACUUGGGUGGUGUUGGAGAGGGUGGUGACUUGGGAGGGUAGUGAGGAUGCUUGGGUGGUGAGUACACUGGUGGUGUUGGUGAGGGUGGUGACUUGGGAGGGUAAUGAGGGUGCUUGGGUGGUGAGUAGACCGGUGUCUUAGGUGGUGACUUGGGGGGGUAGUAGGGGUGGUGAGGUGGUGAGUAGACUGGCGUUGGUGGUGGAGGAGACUUGUAGUGGUAUGGCUUCUUUGGUGGUGGUGGUGAGUGAUGUGGGUGGUAGGGCUUCUUGUGUGGUGGCGGGGGUGGUGGAGACUUGUAGUGGUAAGGCUUCUUCGGUGGUGGUGGAGGUGGUGGAGACUUGUAGUGGUAUGGCUUCUUUGGUGGUGGUGGUGAGUGGUGUGGAUGGUAGGGCUUCUUGUGUGGUGGGGGUGGUGGAGGAGACUUGUAAUGGUAAGGGACCUUCGGUGGUGGCGGUGAUGGAGGAGGAGGAGACUUGUAGUGGUAAGGCACCUUAGGUGGUGGUGGUGAUGGAGGAG
rnacentral:lncRNA from 1 species